GCCAGUUUGGCUCAGUGGAUAGAGCGUCAGCCUGCAGACUGAAGGAUCCCUGGUUCGAUUCCAGUCAAGGGCA
rnacentral:tRNA from 1 species